GUUGAGCUGACCGGGACCCGUUAUCUUCCUCCAGAACCUCCUCGAUCACACAGAGAGAGUCAAUGUACACACGAGAUCACAGGAGUCCGACCGGACACGAGUCCACGUCGCCUUCACAAUAAAAGAGAGACAGAUAGAGUGCGCAGACUCUCUGAUGUCAGGAGCUGAUGGUGGUUUCAGUAUCCAUCAAAAAGAAACUACUUUUCUAAUGUAGUGACUGAAUCUGAUGAUGACCUCAUCUGAGAUCAUCUGGACUCAUUUCCGGAAACGAGACAAAACAGGUCACAAGCUCAAGCUGUUUUUAAAAAGCACAGAGUGGACGUCCCGCUAGAAGCGAGCGUAGGCACUCCUCUGUGGAGCCGGCUGAGCUGCGCUCUGCUGCAGCUGAUGGCGGAGCUGCUGGGAGUAAGGGU